rnacentral:lncRNA from 1 species
CGUGCUUCUAUGUGUCAGGCUGCAUGGACUGCUUCCAUGCACGGCGACACCUCGAGCUUCUGUAGACACUCAGCUUGCUGGAUGGUUAACACCACGUUUUGAACCCUUGCAACGAGCCACCUCGAGCUUCUCUGUCCAUUGGCCUGAUUUUGGUCCUUCCCGUAAAUUUCUGACCCGCGAUUAAUCUUGAAUAUUUUUCUUCUCCCAUUCAGAUGAGUUUAAUAUUUUUAAUAAACUCCAAUCUGAAGUCUGACCUUGGCGGUAAAUAUUUCCCGAUCCUUCGGCUUCAUCGAAGACAUGCAUAAUACCGAAAUUAGGGUUUUAGUCUAAUUUCGGGUUUUCCCGUCGUGCUUCGAUCCCGUCGUGCUUGCUUCCCGUCGUGCUUAAGUCCCGUCAUGCUUCUAAUGUCUUCAAAAUAAUAUUCCGCUGAUACGAAGUUUUGCGGAAAACUUCGUGCUGAAGAAAUGUCAUUCUUCCAAAACGUCGAGCUCCUAAACCGUCGUGCUUCCAAAAAUGUUAUGCUUCGAAAACGUCCGUCUCAUCAAUCUAAGACAUCUUCUAACUAUGGUCGAGCAACUUAUUCGACUCAUAGUUCACUCACGAUCACUUCUUCGCCCACCUCGUACUUCAAAACUUCUCGAUCGAUCCAUAUCGCCCGCGACUCGACCACCACAAAGAUACUCGACCAUUUCUUUUUUUUUUUUUUUUUUUAACGGGUUUCUACACUUAGUGUCACCCCUCGAUCCAUCAGUUCUCAAUCCUCUCGGAUCUGAGUUCAUAUCAACCUUACCGAAAAAGUGAUCCUUAUUUUAGUUCUAUCACAGACGGACACACACGGACACACACGAACAGCCAUGGACGUCCUGUGUGUGCUGGCGGACACCCAAGGACGUCCUGUGUGUACUGAACAGACAGCCCAUGUGGGCCAAAAUCACCCGAACAGUACACGGGAAGGGUCAGUGUGCUGAGUCCAAGGACCAACGUGCUGAUAUGUGUACAGAUGGACAGCCACGGACAUCUUGUGUGUGCUGAU